rnacentral:rRNA from 1 species
AUACGGAGGGGGCUAGCGUUGUUCGGAUUUACUGGGCGUAAAGCGCGCGUAGGCGGUAUAUCAAGUUAGGCGUGAAAGCCCCGGGCUCAACCCGGGAACUGCGCUUAUUACUGAUAAACUAGAGUCCGGGAGAGGGUGGCGGAAUUCCCAGUGUAGGGGUGAAAUUCGUAGAUAUUGGGAAGAACACCAGUUGCGAAGGCGGCCACCUGGACCGGUACUGACGCUGGGGUGCGAAAGCGUGGGGAGCAAACAGGAUUAGAAACCCCGGUAGUCC